GUGAUUGGCUUCGGCCUUAAUCUAUUCCAAACCUCUGUGAACCGUGGCCUCCGGGCCGUUUUUUAAACAUCAGUGUAAAGAAUGUAAACAUUAGAAAAAACA
rnacentral:misc_RNA from 1 species